rnacentral:lncRNA from 1 species
CUAAGAGAAGCCAAAGGCUUACAGCUUCAGAGGCCUGGGCUGACCUGCCCUGUGCAGGCUGCAAUGGCUGGGGAUGCCGGUGUGUGUCUAAUGAGAAGUUGCUGCAUGAGCUGUGUGACUGGGAGCCGUGCACGCUCACAUGCUAAAGGUUUUCUCCCGGCCCUGAAUCUGUGAUCCUGUUUGUAGUUCUCUAAUUGCAACCAGCAGAAGACAAGGGUGAUGUUGGUUUUUAUGACUUGUUGCUUAGCAGCGUUGAUCAACAAAAGCACAACCUUUUCUUUUGCUGUGACCUCGGUGAACCCGGGCUUGGACAGAGCUCACCAGCGGGGAACAAGGGUUUCUGAAGCCGUGUGAAACUCCUGUGCUGUGCCUUGUUAGCAGUGUCUGAGGGAAAGCAUCUCUUCUUGACCUCUUUGUUGCCUUUGCCCUUUACUCCUCUUUCUCUCUCUCUCAUCAAAUCUUAGAAGAAAGCAGGCACCGUCCUAGGAAGAUUUGGAGGACGAGAAAUACAGGGAGACGUCAACUACACUAAGAUGUAUCCUGCCUCUUUUCAGGAAAAGGAGCUAAGCUGGUUCCCAGACUGUGAUGUCAGACCCUCCUCUCAUGGAAGGAGAAGGACUUCAGCCAUCACAAGUGUUUGUAACAAACCACCUUGUCUGCAUGCCAAGAGAUUGCCACAGAGAGAAACAAAUUGCUGCUGACGACAGAGGUAAAUCUUGUUAUUCUGAAAAUUAUUCCUUGGGCAGCUUCGCGGUAACUUCCUUUUCCAGCUGGUUCCUGAUGAAUCAGUGGCAGCGACUCAGAGAGGAAGCAGUUGCUCAGAGAGUUGUGCUGUGGUGACACUGGUGUGUGCUGGGAGCAGCAAUCCAUAGGUGUCAUUCCAUCCAUCCAUCCCCUCAGCAGUACUUAUGGAGAGCCCUUAGAUGGUGCUGUAUGGCAGCGCUCGGCGCUUCUGCUGCCUGAGGGAUGUCUGGGCCCCACCUCAGGGCCAACAUUUGGCCACAGUUCAGUCUGGGGAAGGUGAAAAAGCCGUCUCUGGGCACUCUUAAUUAGGGUGAGUAAAUGAAAUCUGUC